GACGUAGGGUGCAGGCGUUGUCCGGAUUUACUGGGCGUAAAGCGCGCGUAGGCGGCUCGUUAAGUGUGAAGUGAAAUCCCUGGGCUCAACUCAGGAACUGCUUUACAUACUGGCGAGCUUGAGGGAUGCAGAGGUCUGUGGAAUUCCUGGUGUAACGGUGAAAUGUGUUGAUAUCAGGAGGAACACCCAUGGCGAAGGCAGCAGACUGGGCAUCGCCUGACGCUGAGGUGCGAAAGCGUGGGUAGCAAACAGG
rnacentral:rRNA from 1 species